rnacentral:lncRNA from 1 species
CCGGGACCUGCGGCGUCGCCGGCGGGUUGCCUCCGCCCUCGGACCAGCCCCGCGCGAGCCGGGCUCCCCCGGCGCCCUCCCGCAUCCGCCGCUCCCGGCCCCGCCUGGCCGCAGGGCCCGGGUAGGAAGGACGGGACCGGCCCGGUGGAGACCUGGCCCCACUGCACGAGGGUCCCUGGAGAUGCCAUUCUGAGCCGAGAAGCGGCUGCUCUGGCCGAGGCCGUUUGCGUGGCAGCGCUUGCAGAGCAAAUCCUGCAACUGGUGUGGGCAGAAACCCAGUCCUCAGAAGUACAGGUAGAAACGUGGAGAUCCCAGCAGACCCCCGCAUCCUUCCUAACUAGGAAAUGAGCAGAGGCUGUGGCCGCACGCAGUCACGGGAGGCCUGGGUAAUUGUGUUCUCUUUCUUCUCCAUGUAUGGCCUAGAGCACCUCAU